AAAAUAACCAUGAUUCCCUCAGUAACGGCGAGUGAAGCGGGAAAAGCUCAAAUUUGAAAUCUGGCAACAUUUCUUUUGUUGUCCGAGUUGUAAUUUCAAGAAGCUGCUUUGAGUGUAGACGAUCGGUCUAAGUUCCUUGGAACAGGACGUCAGAGAGGGUGAGAACCCCGUCUUUGGUCGAUUGGAUAUGCCAUAUAAAGCGCUUUCGAAGAGUCGAGUUGUUUGGGAAUGCAGCUCUAAAUGGGUGGUAAAUUUCAUCUAAAGCUAAAUAUUGGCGAGAGACCGAUAGCGAACAAGUAGAGUGAUCGAAAGAUGAAAAGAACUUUGAAAAGAGAGUUAAAUAGUACGUGAAAUUGCUGAAAGGGAAGCAUUGGAAAUCAGUCUUACCUGGGUGAGAUCAGUAGUCUCUUCGCGAGACUAUGCACUCUGAACCUGUGGUAGGUCAGCAUCAGUUUUCGGGGGCGGAAAAAGAAUAAGGGAAGGUGGCUUUCCGGGUUCUGCCUGGGGAGUGUUUAUAGCCCUUGUUGUAAUACGUCCACUGGGGACUGAGGACUGCGGCUUCGUGCCAAGGAUGCUGACAUAAUGGUUUUCAAUGGC
rnacentral:rRNA from 1 species